rnacentral:pre_miRNA from 1 species
AAUCUACUCCCUCCGUUCCAAAUUACUCAUCGUAGAAAUGGAUGUAUCUAGAACUAAAAUACAUCUAGAUACAUCCAUUUCUGUGACGAGUAAUUUGGAACGGAUGGAGUAGUUG